rnacentral:lncRNA from 1 species
CUUAACUGUUGCUCGAAGACUGUGACAUCAGAAGUAACUCCCACUCCUAAUCAAGAGUCUCUCCAGCCUCACAGAUGCUGGCCUCUUGGCACCUGCCUAGCUCUUGGGCCUGACCUCCAGUCCUGCUGGCCUGCUCUUACUUCCCCCACCCUGGGUUUGGCCCCUGGAACCUUUCCCUUGGGACUGGGCCAUGGGUCCUCGGCCCAUCUGUCCAUCCUCCUCUCCAUGCAAGUGCUGUUUGGGCAGGAGUCACCAUGCAAGGGUGACAUCGACAACCACGUACCAAGCCACCGCAGCUGCUGCCACUCUGCCGCCUGUACAGAAGAAACUGAAUCUUUUUCAUAUUCUAAUAAAUCAA